UACGGAGGGAGCUAGCGUUGUUCGGAAUUACUGGGCGUAAAGCGCGCGUAGGCGGCUUUGUAAGUUAGAGGUGAAAGCCCGGGGCUCAACUCCGGAAUUGCCUUUAAGACUGCAUCGCUAGAAUCCGGGAGAGGUGAGUGGAAUUCCGAGUGUAGAGGUGAAAUUCGUAGAUAUUCGGAAGAACACCAGUGGCGAAGGCGGCUCACUGGACCGGUAUUGACGCUGAGGUGCGAAAGCGUGGGGAGCUAACAGG
rnacentral:rRNA from 1 species